UUCCUUCACCCAUUGGUUUCUGCAAGAUGGCCGCCACCGUUCCCAGCGUGCCCUGGGCUCCACAAGAUGGCCGCCGCCCUUCACCCAUUGGGUUCCGCAAGAUGGCCGCCACCGUUCCCAUCGUGCCCUGGGCUCCGCAAGAUGGCUGCCAUCGUUCUUCUCUUGGCUGCCAUCUUGUCCCCUUGGCCGCCACCAUGUCUCCAUGGCCGCCAUCUUGUCCUGUCAUCUCCAUCCCCUCUUCUUGGCCGCCAUCUUGUCUUCUUGGCCGCCAUCUUGUCUUCUUGGCCGCCAUCUUGUCUUCUUGGCCGCCAUCUUGUCUUCUUGGCCGCCAUCUUGUCCCCUUGGUCUCCACCAUGUCUCCACGGCCGCCAUCUUGUCCUCUGGGCCACCACCUCACGCUGUUGGCCGCCAUCUUGUCCGCACAUCUUCCACCUCGUCCCCACGGCCGCCAUCUUGUCCCCACGGCCGCCAUCUUGUCCCCACGGCCACCAUCUUGUUCCCUGGGCAACCUCCUCACCCAGUUGGCCACCAUCUUGUCCCACCACCUCCAUCUCAUCCCCACGGCCGCCAUCCCGUCCCUACAUCUUCCAUUUUGUCCCCACGUCCUCCACCUCGUCCCCACGGCCACCAUCUUGUUCCACCACCCUCAUCUCGUCCCCUGGGCUGCCACCUCACCCUGUUGGCCGCCAUCUUGUCCCCACGUCUUUCAUCUGGUCCCCACGUCUUCUACCUCAUCCCCACAGCCACCAUCUUGUCACCACGUCUUCCAUCUUGUCCCCACGGCCGCCAUCUUGUUCCCUGGGCAACCACCUCACCCAGUUGGCCGCCAUCUUGUCCCCACGGCCGCCAUCUUGUCCCACGUCCUCCAUCUCGUCCCCAUGGCCGCCAUCCCGUCCCUACAUCUUCCAUCCCGUCCCUACAUCUUCCAUCUCAUCCCCACGUCCUCCUCGUCCCCACGGCCACCAUCUUGUUCCACCACCCCCAUCUCGUCCCCUGGGCUGCCACCUCACCCAGUUGGCCGCCAUCUUGUCCCCUCGGCCGCCAUCUUGUCCCACCAUCUCCAUCUCAUCCCCAUGGCCGCCAUCCCAUCCCUACAUCUUCCAUCCCGUCCCUACAUCUUCCAUCUCGUCCCCACGUCCUCCUCAUCCCCACGGCCACCAUCUUGUUCCACCACCCUCAUCUCGUCCCCUGGGCUGCCACUUCACCCAGUUGGCCGCCAUCUUGUCCCAUCGGCCGCCAUCUUGUCUCCUUGGCCGCCAUCUUGUCCCACCACCUCCAUCUCGUCCCCAUGGCCGCCAUCCCGUCCCUACCUCUUCCAUUUUGUCCCCACGUCCUUCUCCUCGUCCCCACGUCCUCCACCCGGUCCCGUUCCCCGCAGGUGGUGCACGGGCUGCUGCGCCAGCCGCGCUCGGAGGCGCAGCUCUUGGACGCCAUCGACGCCUUUUUCCCCGAGGGGACGGAGCGCGGCUGGGACACAGGGAGGCUGGUGCGUGCCCGGCGCCGAUUUGGGGCA
rnacentral:lncRNA from 1 species